UUACGCCAACUUGAAGCUUUGACAAAUGCGCGGCUACUUUAACAUAAAGAGGCUCAGCAAAUACUGGACUAAAUCAAAAUAAAGUGUGAUGCAACGUUCAUGGCAGUGAAUUUCAAUAACGGAGAUAUACUCGUAGUUUCAAGCUUUAUGCAUCUGAAAAAUAUCAGAUUUCUCGAUUAUAUCAGUUCAGAUAUGGUGCCAACAAUAUUCAGGCAGACUGCAGCAUUGAAGAGAAAUUUGCCGCAACAUGAAUAUAAAUCGGGAUGAAAUUAUACACACUUUCGAGAUUCGAAAACAUUAAAAAAAGGAUCUUCUUUUGCUUCGCAUAAGUGAUAAUGAACAAAGAAAGCGUCAGAAGGGAGGAUGAGAGGGAUAAGGCUACCACAGCUAAGUCAAGUGUCAAGCCUCAAAAUUUUACUUAUGAAGACGUGUCCCACCAAUGAGCUGUUUAGCAAAAUGCUAAGCCGAAAAUAUAAAAGAUUAACCCUUUGCGGCACAGUGUGUCCGAUCUGGACACACCUAAAAAUUUCCUUCUGUACGCAUAGAAAAACUGAACGAAAAAGGAUUUAUUGGUUACUAUAGGUUAUAGUGCUAUCUUCACAAAAUUUUACUUGUGUACUCCUCUUGGCCAAAUUAGACUGCCUACCCCCUUUUUUUUUUAAAUCGAAACUCCGACUUUAAAAGGUAGCGUGCCGGAAAGGGUUAACUACUUUUCUAUUUAUGCACUUCCUUCCCAUUUUUUAGGAUUUAUUUUCUUAUACAGCUUAAAGUAUUAACUACUUCUCUGCGCCACUUCGGCUUAUAAAAUGUUUCACCUUUCAUACAAGGGAGGAAACUGUAUACCAAUGUUCUCAACGAUCAAGAUGCAAAGAAAACAAGUGUAAAUACGACAAAAUUAAACAGUUUGGCAUAAAAAGAGCCGAACAUCGGAAAUGCUGGGAAUGUUGCUUUUGAAUUCCGUUGCUGUUAUUGUAGUUUUCUGCGAUGCCGCUGCUGAUGAUUAAUUAAGUUGUUUUUAAGCGUUGUGUUGUUUAAGUAGUAUUAAUUGUUUGUAGUGAUACUAUAGGUAAGACUUCUGCUAUGCAUUUGCAUUUUAUUUGUACUAAUUACAGAUUGGUAUAGCUAUUCCUGUAUUUCUAUUUACAGGAAUAUGUAAAUUGUGUCGUGUGGCAUUCAACACUUAGACACAUAAUGCUAUGUUUUUAGACAUUGUUCAGUUAUUACCAGGGUUCGUACACAUUUCUGCACACGGAAAUUAAGUACUUUUAAGG